rnacentral:tRNA from 1 species
GGCGACAUACCCAAGUGGCCCAAGGGGACGGUUUGCAAAACCGUUAUUCAUCGGUUCGAAUCCGAUUGUCGCCUUCA